rnacentral:rRNA from 1 species
GACGAACGCUGGCGGCGUGCUUAACACAUGCAAGUCGAACGGAAAGGCCCUGCUUUUGUGGGGUGCUCGAGUGGCGAACGGGUGAGUAACACGUGAGUAACCUGCCCUUGACUUUGGGAUAACUUCAGGAAACUGGGGCUAAUACCGGAUAGGAGCUCCUGCUGCAUGGUGGGGGUUGGAAAGUUUCGGCGGUUGGGGAUGGACUCGCGGCUUAUCAGCUUGUUGGUGGGGUAGUGGCUUACGAAGGUUUUGACGGGUAGCCGGCCUGGGAGGCUGACCGGCCACCUUGGGCCUGAGAUACGGACCAGAAUCCUACGGGAGGCAGUAGUGGGGAACAUUGCACAAUGGGCCGACGCCUGAUGCAGCAACGUCGCGUGCGUGAUGACGUGCUUCGGGUUGUAAACAGCUUUCGCCUGUGACGAAGCGUGAGUGACGGUAAUGGGUAAAGAAGCACCGGCUAACUACGUG